GUGUGUCGGGGAGGCAGCGAGCAGGGGCUGGCGUGGUGGUGCAGCUGAAGCCUCUUUGCGGUCCCAUUCCCGCGGCCGGUUUGUCACAAGCAGAAUCGUGGGGAACGCAAGUGCCAAAAACGGAACUUCAGCAGAUGCCAUAAGAAUGGGCUAAAAGUGGGCUAAAAAGAACAAAAAAAGCAGAGAGUGGGCUUUCUGUACCAAGCUGCAAUAGUAAAGUUUGCCUGCAUGAAGACACAAGGCUGUGGGAGACACCUUUAACUGCAGCUCCUGGCUCUGGAGACACCUUAACCCCGGCUCCUGGCCCUGGAGACACCCCCAGCGCAGCUCUUCCCCCGCGGGUGCCCCGCGGGUGCCCCGCAGCCUGCGGUGCUCGGGGGACACCUGGUGGUGGCUGUGCCGCAGCGCGCCCCGCCCCGCCCGGGCCCCGCACGCCCCUUGGCUCGCCGUGGGAAACUGCUGGUGCUGCUUCGCAAUGAAAGCCCAUCCAGCACUCGGGUGUGUCUGAGUAAAGCUCUCAGUCAGCCCUAAGACUGUGCAAUCCUGUCUGAGAGGAAAAGGGCAAGCAUGUACAUGGCCUUGAAUUUAAUGGAAAGAGGACAGCUCUUGUGCCUGUUGCUCAUUUAGAGUGGGAUUCUCCUGUGAAGCAAGACCUUGCUGGGAAGAAUGUGUCCAUGUAACAGAAGAAUUUCUCAGUACAUGAACAGGGGACAAGAUUACUGUUGAAUUGCCUAAUUUGGAUAAUCCCCGUUUUCUUGGUACUUAAAUUUGAAAUCUAAUAAUAUCUAAUAAUAUGAUAUGUAAUUUUGAAAAAUUAAAUAGGAAAAAAAGAUAAAAAAUAAACAUGUAGUGUUCAUGGAUGCCUCCUGAGGGGCAUUUAAGUUUGAUGAAAUGAAUCUUAGACAGUUGCCUGACAUCUGAGCCCCUACACUGCCGAAGUAAGUGGACAUCCACUUUGGUGACCAGCAGGAAAGGACAAAACAUUUUUGACUUUUCAGUUUCACAGCUAAGAAUUGGGAAUCUCAGGUUCUUCACAGUUUUUGUAUAACUAAAACUGUGUGUUCCACAGACACUGAGCUCCUGUCAUGAUCUCGUAGAACACUUGGAUUUCCAAUUCCCAUCUCUACUCCUAAGGAUGCUCUUCCCAAUACUAUUUUAGCUUUCUGAUUCAGUUUAAAAAUAACUUUCUCCACUUCAUCCCUGCCGACCCCCUUUAGCCCUGGUCUCUUCCCUGAUCCAGUUUGCCACAGAGAUCCACUGAAGUUACAUGGACGUGAUUAUGGAGAAAUUAUAGAAAUGAAACAAGUGAGAAGGGACGAGCCCAAAACAGGCAAACUUCUGCCAAA